CAACCUCGGCAAGGGGGGGGGGAAGUAAAAGAAACCCCACGCUGCUUGCACCUUGUAAAGUCGGUCACGUGGCCUCGUUUCUCAUCUCUGCCAUGAGCCGGGCCGCGGCGCACACGUGCGGCGUCAGGGGCACCUCAGGCCCCUGCCUCUCCGGGCACGCAGGACGCGCUGAGCCCCACCGCACACUGCCGCAGCCCUGCUCGCGCCUGGGUGACCAUUCCCUUUGAAGGUUACCCGGCUACGACAGAUGAGCAAGGCGUCUACGCAGCAACACAGUAACCCGGUAAGGCCCAGCGAGGCAUGCAAAGGAGAUAGGUAAAUGAGGAUCAUCACCACCACCAUCACCACCAGCAUCACCGCCACCACCACCACAACUCUGUGGCUCUGUUGUUGACGCGCGGUGCGCGCGCGGAGGAAUUGAACAGCAGCCACUUACGCACGAAAUCUAAACUUGGCCUCGGGGAGGGGGGCGGUGCGGCGAUAAAGUGGAAGCGUUGCGCAACCCGGGCCGUGCCGUGGGCGCGCUAUCGCCUCACGGCUGCCCUUGUAGGGGCGUGCACGCACGCGAUGCUGACGCUCGGGGUCCCGUUGUCCCCUCUCGGCACGGGGCCUUCUGCCCACGUGACCCCGUCGCCCGACCGAGGCUCCAGGUCCGCGCUAACUUUACACGUCGCCUGUUGAACUCUGCCCCC